rnacentral:rRNA from 1 species
UACGUAGGGUGCAAGCGUUAAUCGGAAUUACUGGGCGUAAAGCGUGCGCAGGCGGUUGUGCAAGACAGAUGUGAAAUCCCCGGGCUCAACCUGGGAACUGCAUUUGUGACUGCACGGCUGGAGUGCGGCAGAGGGGGAUGGAAUUCCGCGUGUAGCAGUGAAAUGCGUAGAUAUGCGGAGGAACACCGAUGGCGAAGGCAAUCCCCUGGGCCUGCACCGACGCUCAUGCACGAAAGCGUGGGGAGCAAACAGG